GCUAAGGAUUAUACUGCAGUAGAACAAACUAUGGAAGCAUUCACGAAUAUUACAUACAGCCACCAGGUGGAUGAUCUCUCAAGGAUGUAUAGGCUAUUUUGUAGAAUAACUAGAGGCUUAGAUCCCGUUUCUCAAAUAUUUAAGCAGCAUGUUCCUACUGAAGGAACCACCCUGGUUAAACAAGUAGAAGAUGCAGCAC